rnacentral:rRNA from 1 species
AAUGAAUUGACGGGGCCCGCACAAGCGGUGGAGCAUGUGGUUUAAUUCGAUGCAACGCGAAGAACCUUACCUGGGCUUGACAUCCCUGGAAUCCCCUGGAAACAGGGGAGUGCCCUUCGGGGAGCCAGGAGACAGGUGCUGCAUGGCUGUCGUCAGCUCGUGUCGUGAGAUGUUGGGUUAAGUCCCGCAACGAGCGCAACCCUUGUCUUUAAUUGCCAUCAUUCAGUUGGGCACUUUAAAGAGACUGCCGGUGUUAAACCGGAGGAAGGCGGGGAUGACGUCAAGUCCUCAUGGCCCUUACAUCCCGGGCUACACACGUGCUACAAUGGCAGGUGCAGAGGGCUGCGAAGCCGCGAGGUGGAGCGAAUCCCAGAAAACCUGUCUCAGUCCGGAUUGAAGUCUGCAACUCGACUUCAUGAAGGCGGAAUCGCUAGUAACCGCGAAUCAGCAGGUCGCGGUGAAUACGUUCCCGGGCCUU